rnacentral:rRNA from 1 species
AUUGAACGCUGGCGGCAUGCCUAACACAUGCAAGUCGAACGGAGGUAGGGGCAACUCUACUUCAGUGGCGGACGGGUGAGGAAUGCGUCGGAAUCUACCCUAUGGUGGGGAUAACACAGGGAAACUUGUGCUAAUACCGCAUAAUGUCGAGAGACCAAAGCAGGGGACCGCAAGGCCUUGCGCGAUAGGAUGAGCCGACGCCCGAUUAGCUUGUUGGUAGGGUAAUGGCCUACCAAGGCGACGAUCGGUAGCUGGUCUGAGAGGAUGAUCAGCCACACUGGGACUGAGACACGGCCCAGACUCCUACGGGAGGCAGCAGUGGGGAAUAUUGGACAAUGGGCGCAAGCCUGAUCCAGCAAUGCCGCGUGUGUGAAGAAGGCCUGCGGGUUGUAAAGCACUUUUGUUCGGGAAGAAAUCAUGCUGGUUAAUACCUGGUAUGGAUGACGGUACCGAAAGAAUAAGCACCGGCUAACUUCGUGCCAGCAGCCAACGG